AUCGUUUAGCGGUUUCCUCCCAUUCCGCUGGACGGUGUUCCCCUCUGAAGGUUCAAACCUUCUUUUGGCCGGGCCGCAUUCGAGCCCGGCCAUUUU
rnacentral:sRNA from 1 species